GUGAGGAAUUUUCCGCAAUGGGCGAAAGCCUGACGGAGCAAUGCCGCGUGAAGGAUGAAGGCCUAUGGGUUGUAAACUUCUUUUCUCAGAAAAGAAUUAUGACGGUAUCUGAAGAAUAAGCAUCGGCUAACUCUGUGCCAGCAGCCGCGGUAAGACAGAGGAUGCAAGCGUUAUCCGGAAUGAUUGGGCGUAAAGCGUCUGUAGGUUGUUUAAAAAGUAUUCUGUCAAAGAUUAGGGCUUAACCCUAGAUAGGCAGAAUAAACUUUUAAGCUAGAGUUUGGUAGAGGCAGAGGGAAUUCCCGGUGGAGCGGUGAAAUGCGUAGAUAUCGGGAGGAACACCAAAGGCGAAGGCACUCUGCUGGGCCAAUACUAACACUGAGAGACGAAAGCGAGGGGAGCAAAUGGGAUUAGAUACCCGGGUAGUCC
rnacentral:rRNA from 1 species